rnacentral:lncRNA from 1 species
CGGAGAGCAGAGAGGGAGCGCGCCUUGGCUCGCUGGCCUUGGCUGCGGCUCCUCGGGAGAGCUGGGGCGCCCACGAGAGGAUCCCUCACCUGGGUCUCUCCUCAGGGAUGACAUCAUCCGUCCACCUCCUUGUCUUCAAGGACCACCUCCUCUCCAUGCCGAGCUGCUGCCAAGGGGCCUGCUGCCCAUCUACACCUCACGAGGGCACUAGGAGCACGGAUUCCUGGAUCCCACCAACAUACAAAGCAGCCACUCACAGACCCCCAGGACCAGGAUGGCAAAGGAUGAAGAGGACCGGAACUGACCUGCCAGCUGUCCCUCUUACCUAAAGACUUAAACCAAUGCCCUAGUGAGGGGGCAUUGGACAUUAAGCCCUGACUUUUGCUAUGCUCAUGCUUUGACUCUAUGAGUACUUUCCUAUAAGUCUUCGCUUGUGUUCACCUGCUAGCAAACUGGAGUGUUUCCCUCCCCAAGGGGGUGUCAGUCUUUGUCGACUGACUCUGUCAUCACCCUUAUGAUGUCCUGAAUGGAAGGAUCCCUUUGGGAAAUUCUCAGGAGGGGGACCUGGGCCAAGGGCUUGACCAGCAUCCUGCUGGCAACUCCAAGGCCCUGGGUGGGCUUCUGGAAUGAGCAUGCUACUGAAUCACCAAAGGCAUGCCCCACCUCUCUGGAGAUCUUCCUAUCCUUUUCUGGGGAAUGGGGUCAAUGGGAGCAACCUCCUAGGGUUGUUGUGAGAAUUAAAUGAGAUAAAAGAGGCCUCAGGCAGGAUCUGGCAUAGAGGAGGUGAUCAGCAAAUGUUUGUUGAAAAGGUUUGACAGGUCAGUCCCUUCCCACCCCUCUUGCUUGUCUUACUCGUCUUAUUUAUUCUCCAACAGCACUCCAGGCAGCCCUUGUCCACGGGCUCUCCUUGCAUCAGCCAAGCUUCUUGAAAGGCCUGUCUACACUUGCUGUCUUCCUUCCUCACCUCCAAUUUCCUCUUCAACCCACUGCUUCCUGACUCGCUCUACUCCGUGGAAGGGCACUCACAAAGGGCUAAUCUAGGGCCUUGUCGAAGGAAGAGGCUGCAGACGUUAAUGAGGUUAGCUGCUGGAUUCCAAUAUUCGUCGCAUAAGGAGCCUUCUUUGUCUGCGAAGGAAAAACACACUGAUUAUCAUAAUGAGUUCCUGAGCUCGCCCUCCUGGGGUGCCCUUGGCCAGCCCCAUGUCUCCUCAGGGUGUCCCAGCACCAGCCUGGCACAGAGUGGGGCUCAGUUAGAGUAUGUGGGAUGUUGGUUUCGCCAGGCACGUGGGCCGCGGCCCAGCUGGGUCGGCUGAAGAACUGCGGAUGGAAGCUGUGGAAGAGGCCCUGAUGGGGCCCACCAUCCCGGACCCGAGUCUUCUUCCUGGAGGGCCUCUCGUCUCCUUCCUGUUUUGGGCGGAAGCCAUCACCUGGAUUCCUACGUGGGAAGGGACCUCGAAUGUGCGACCCCAGCCCCUCUCCAGCUCGAAAUCCCUCCACAGCCACGGGGACGCCCUGCACCUAUUCCCACGGGACAGGCUGGACCCAGAGACUCUGGACCCGGGGCCUCCCCUUGAGUAGAGACCCGCCCUCUGACUGAUGGACGCCGCUGACCUGGGGUCAGACCCGAGGGCUGGACCCCUGCCCACCCCGCAGGAACCCUGAGGCCUAGGGGAGCUGUUGAGCCUUCAGUGUCUGCAUGUGGGAAGUGGGCUCGUUCACCUACCUCACAGGGCUGUUGUGAGGGGCGCUGUGAUGCGGUUCCAAAGCACA